rnacentral:rRNA from 1 species
UAGGGAAUAUUGGACAAUGGGCGCAAGCCUGAUCCAGCCAUGCCGCGUGAGUGAAGAAGGCCCUCGGGUUGUAAAGCUCUUUUGUCCGGAAAGAAAAGCAUCGGGUUAAUACCCCGGUGUUCUGACGGUACCGGAAGAAUAAGCACCGGCUAACUUCGUGCCAGCAGCCGCGGUAAUACGAAGGGUGCAAGCGUUACUCGGAAUUACUGGGCGUAAAGAGUGCAUAGGUGGUUCGUUAAGUCUGAUGUGAAAGCCCUGGGCUCAACCUGAGAAUGGCAUUAGAAACUGGCGGACUGGAGUGCGGUAGAGGGUAGCAGAAUUACCGGUGUAGCAGUGAAAUGCGUAGAGGUCGGGAGGAACAUCCGUGGCGAAGGCGGCUACCUGGACCAGCACUGACACUGAGGCACGAAAGCGUGGGGAGCAAACA